rnacentral:rRNA from 1 species
UACGGAGGAUCCGAGCGUUAUCCGGAUUUAUUGGGUUUAAAGGGUGCGCAGGCGGGAGAUUAAGUCGGCGGUGAAAUUUUGCAGCUCAACUGUAAAAGUGCCUUCGAAACUGGUUUCCUUGAGUGUGGAUGAGGUAGGCGGAAUUUGUGGUGUAGCGGUGAAAUGCAUAGAUAUCACGAGGAACUCCGAUUGCGUAGGCAGCUUACUAAACCAUAACUGACGCUCAAGCACGAAGGCGUGGGGAUCAAACAGGAUUAGAUACCCGGGUAGUCCCUGA